rnacentral:rRNA from 1 species
UUGUUGCGGUUAAAAAGCUCGUAGUUGGAUCUCGGCAGGCAGGGGGUGGUUGCUCCUUAGCGCUACUGCCCCAUUUGCCUGUGUGAUUGGCGGAGGUUUCGGUGUGCUCUUUGUUGAGUGACCCGGGGCGCCGUCAGGUUUACUUUGAAAAAAUUAGAGUGCUCAAAGCAGGCUUUUCACGCUUGAAUAUUCGUGCAUGGAAUAAUGGAAUAGGAACUCGUUUCUAUUUUGUUGGUUUUCGGAAAUCGAGUUAAUGAUUAAUAGGGACAAUUGGGGGCAUUAGUAUUCAGACGACAGAGGUGAAAUUCUUGGACCGUCUGAAGACUAACUACUGCGAAAGCAUUUGCCAAGAGUGUUUUCAUUAAUCAAGAACGAAAGUUAGAGGUUCGAAGGCGACCAGAUACCGCCCUAGUUCUAACCAUAAACGAUGCCAGCUAGCGAUCUGCCGAGUUUUUUUUGUAGGCUCCGCAGGAAGCUUUCGGGAAACCAAAGCUUUUGGGUUCCGGGGGAAGUAUGGUUGCAAAGCUGAAACUUAAAGGAAUUGACGGAAGGGCACCACCAGGAGUGGAGCCUGCGGCUUAAUUUGACUCAACACGGGAAAUCUCACCAGGCCCGGACACUGGAAGGAUUGACAGAUUGAGAGCUCUUUCUCGAUUCGGUGGGUGGUGGUGCAUGGCCGUUCUUAGUUGGUGGAGUGAUUUGUCUGGUUAAUUCCGAUAACGAACGAGACUCUGUCCUGCUAAAUAGUUGGUUUGUCCUUCGUGCGAACCAAAUUCUUCUUAGAGGGACUGGCUGCGUCUAGCAGCACGAGAUUGAGCAAUAACAGGUCUGUGAUGCCCUUGGAUGUUCUGGGCCGCACGCGCGCUACACUGAAGGGAUCAGCGUGUUCUCCCUUCCCGAGAGGGACGGGUAACCCGCUGAACCCCCUUCG